rnacentral:rRNA from 1 species
AUUGAACGCUGGCGGCAGGACUAAAACAUGCAAGUCGAACGAGUGGCGGACGGGUGAGUAAGGUCUGGGAAACUGCCUGAUGGAGGGGGAUAACUACUGGAAACGGUAGCUAAUACCGCAUACCAUCAGAUGUGCCACGAUGGGAGUAGCUAGUGUGUGGGGUAACGGCUCACCAAGGCGAAGCUCCCUAGCUGGUCUGAGAGGAUGACCAGCAACACUGGAAAUGUGACACGGUCCAGAAUCCGACGGGAGGCAGCAGUGGGGAAUAUUGCACAAUGGGCGCAAGCCUGAUGCAGCCAUGCCGCGUGUAGGAAGAAGGCCUUCGGGUUGUAAAGUACUUGCAGCGGGGAGGCGUUACCCGCAGAAGAAGCACCGGCUAACUCCGUGCCAGCAGCCGCGGUAAUUC